AACUCGGUGUUUCUCAACACCACCUAGACAAAGAAUCGGAUGUGCU
rfam:Chlamydomonas reinhardtii strain CC-503 cw92 mt+ CHLREscaffold_3_Cont686, whole genome shotgun sequence.